UACGUAGGUGGCGAGCGUUAUCCGGAAUUAUUGGGCGUAAAGCGCGCGCAGGCGGUUUCUUAAGUCUGAUGUGAAAGCCCACGGCUCAACCGUGGAGGGUCAUUGGAAACUGGGAGACUUGAGUGCAGAAGAGAAGAGUGGAAUUCCACGUGUAGCGGUGAAAUGCGUAGAUAUCAAGAGGAACACCUGAGGUGAAGACGGGUUGCUGGGCCAACACUGACGUGAGGCGCGAAAGCCAGGGGAGCAAACGGG
rnacentral:rRNA from 1 species